AUGGAGCAGGCCACCAUCCCGGAUGUCCGUGGCGGAGUCCUGCAGAGCGCCGUCCGAGUGUGGAGCAACAUUCCAGCCAUCAGGAGGUAUUUCAGGGCCAGGGGGACCCAGAAGUGGGAUUCACCAAGGAAACAGUGUCUGCCUAGCAGAUCCAAGCCCACAGUAACCUCUGCCCUGGUGGGAACUAGGCUCAACCCUGGGACCCUGGAGGCACUGAAGCCCAAGGAUGCCCCUUUCCUCUUGGGGACUUUCUCCAGUGCUGGCUCUUAGCUUCUCGGGAUCCAGCCCCUGGAAACCCUCAUGUGCCUUAAUGGCCUGGCCCUGGCUCAGCUGCAGCCUCCAGGCUUUCCCUCCAUGUUGCCUCCCCACCUCCCUCGCACAUCCACAGGCUUCUCAUGUGUGCUCACACUCAGCCACACUCACACAACUCACAGGCUCAUCCACACACCUGUGUGCUCAUGCAGUCAUUCCCCCACACACACAGUCAUCCCGACGGUCACACACAUCCACACACACAUGAUCAGUCACACUGUCACACACUCACACAGCACACACACUCACGGCUCACACACACAGUCAUCACCAUGGUCACACACAUGCUCACACUGUCACACGCUCACACAGCACACACAUGGCUCACACACACAGUCAUGGCUCACAUCUACACACACAUGCUCAGUCACACUGUCACACACAGCACACACACGGCUCACACACAGUCAUCACCAUGGUCACACAUAUGCUCAGUCACACUGUCACAUGCUCACACAGCACACACACGACUGGCAUGUACAUCCACACAUGCUCACAUCUGCUCACAAACACAGGCAUGCAUGCAUCAGUCUCCCACCCACCCACAUGCUUGCACCCCCACAGCACACUCCUGGGCCGCCCUCCUCACCUUUUGGCACCUUGAACACAUGGCCCCACCCCACACACCCUCCCGCCACCCCCGUGGUCUCUCCCAGCUGCCCACCCCCCUUGGCAGCCUUUCUGAAUGGCCCAGACCUUGCACCCCACAGCCAACCGUCCGUCCAUCCCCUCACUCCCACACCUGCCUGGCGUGCCCAGAGAAGCAUGCAUGCCCAUGGAACCAGUGCCUUCUGGCUCCGCUGA
rnacentral:lncRNA from 13 species